rnacentral:tRNA from 3 species
GGGCAGUUACCAGAGUGGCCAAAUGGGGCAGACUGUAAAUCUGCUGGCUUACGCCUACGGUGGUUCGAAUCCAUCACUGCCCA